AAGUCGUAACAAGGUUUCCGUAGGUGAACCUGCGGAAGGAUCAUUAUUGAAUUCAUCUACCGGGUUGUUGCUGGUUCCAUUUGGUUCAAGUGCACGCCUGGUUCUUGAUCUCUUUCCACCUGUGCACUUUUGUAGGCUAGUCUACGUCUUGGUUGAUUGUCUGUUGCUCAAUAUCUUGCUUUUGUUGAGACGUUGGAUUGGAGGAGUGAGCUUCUUAGUUCUUCCUCUAGGACUUUCAGCUGAGCAUGAUUGGCUCUACGUUUUUUUACAAACCCAUUUGUAUGUCUAGAAAGUCCAUUACUGGUCGGAAGACCUUUAAUCUUUACACAACUAUUGACAACGGAUCUCUUGGCUCAC
rnacentral:misc_RNA from 1 species